GACGAACGCUGGCGGCGUGCUUAACACAUGCAAGUCGAACGGAAAGGCCCUGCUUUUGUGGGGUGCUCGAGUGGCGAACGGGUGAGUAACACGUGAGUAACCUGCACUUGACUGUGGGAUAACUUCAGGAAACUGGGGCUAAUACCGGAUAGGAGCUCCUGCUGCAUGUUGGGGGUUGGAGAGUUUCGGCGGUGGGGGAUGGACUCGCGGCUUAUCAGCUGGUUGGUGGGGUAGUUGCUUACCAAGGCUUUGACGGGUAGCCGGCCUGAGAGGGUGACCGGCCACAUUGGGACUGCGAUACGGCCCAGACUCCUACGGGAGGCAGCAGUGGGGAAUAUUGCACAAUGGGCGGAAGCCUGAUGUAGCAACGCCGCGUGCGGGAUGACGGCCUUCGGGUUGUAAACCGCUUUCGCCUGUGACGAAGCGUGAGUGACGGUAAUGGGUAAAGAAGCACCGGCUAACUACGUG
rnacentral:rRNA from 1 species